rnacentral:rRNA from 1 species
UUGCCAGACUCCUACGGGAGGCAGCAGUGGGGAAUAUUGCACAAUGGGGGAAACCCUGAUGCAGCGACGCCGCGUGAGCGAAGAAGUAUUUCGGUAUGUAAAGCUCUAUCAGCAGGGAAGAAAAUGACGGUACCUGACUAAGAAGCUCCGGCUAAAUACGUGCCAGCAGCCGCGGUAAUACGUAUGGAGCAAGCGUUAUCCGGAUUUACUGGGUGUAAAGGGAGCGUAGGCGGUAAGGCAAGUCUGAUGUGAAAGGCCAGGGCUCAACCCUGGGACUGCUCUUGGAACUGUGCGGCUGGAGUGCGGGAGGGGCAGGCGGAAUUCCUGGUGUAGCGGUGAAAUGCGUAGAUAUCAGGAGGAACACCGGCGGCGAAGGCGGCCUGCUGGACCUCGACUGACGUUGAGGCUCGAAAGCGUGGGGAGCGAACAGGAUUAGAUACCCCCGUACAA